rnacentral:rRNA from 1 species
UACGGGGGGAGCAAGCGUUGUUCGGAUUUACUGGGCGUAAAGGGCGCGUAGGCGGCCUCUGCAAGUCGACUGUGAAAUCUCCGGGCUUAACCCGGAAAGGUCAGCCGAUACUGCGGGCUAGAGUGCAGAAGGGAGCAACUGGGAAUUCUCGGUGUAGCGGUGAAAUGCGUAGAGUAUCGAGAGGAACACCUGCGGCGAAGGCGGGUUGCUGGGCUGACACUGACGCUGAGGCGCGAAAGCUAGGGGAGCGAACGGG